rnacentral:rRNA from 1 species
UACAGAGGGUGCAAACGUUGCUCGGAAUUAUUGGGCGUAAAGCGCACGUAGGUGGCCAUGUAAGUCAGGAGUGAAAGCCCUCGGCUUAACCGGGGAAGUGCUUUUGAAACUGCAUGGCUUGAAUACUGGAGAGGGUCGCGGAAUUCCCGGUGUAGAGGUGAAAUUCGUAGAUAUCGGGAGGAACACCAGUGGCGAAGGCGGCGACCUGGACAGAUAUUGACACUGAGGUGCGAAAGCGUGGGGAGCAAACAGG